UCAAACACUCUUAACUCACGUUGAUUUUCAGCCCACACACAACUCACACACACUAACACCUAAAACACACACACCAUUCACGCAUAUACCAUUUUUUAGCUUGAGCUCAAGCUUUUGAGCUCCGAUUUGAGCACCGAGAUGAACGCCGAUCAUCUUUUCGAUCACGUAUCUAAGUAGGUCCUUUUGGGAAGUAACGACUUGAGGGAGAGAGUGACGUUACUCAUUGAUACAGAGACACAACGAGGUUGAGCUGAUGUGAUGAUGGUGCUGCAAUGAGCGGAGUCUCCAGGGUUGUUAAUAAAUAGUUAACCUGUCUAGAAUAUGUCUUCAUACAUAUGUCUAGCUACUUUCCGCUGCAAGAUGUUGUUGAUGUUAUAGUAUGUUAUGUCAUACUUUGAGUCUUAAGAGAAUGGUUUCAUAUGAUGUAUAACUUGAUUAAUGAUAUUAAUUAAGUUUUAUGCUGUCUUUCAUAGACUGUUUUCAAUUGAGUAUUAAUGAAUAAAAAUGACGAGUUUUAUUAAGAUGAGUAAGUUUUACGGCUAUAAAUAACGCCCCUUUUCUUCCCCUUCUUCUUUAACCCCAUCCCUAGUCGUGGAUCA